rnacentral:rRNA from 1 species
GACAGAGGUGCCAAGCGUUAGGCGGAAUCACUGGGCUUAAAGCGUGUGUAGGCGGAUCGUUAAGUACCUUGUGAAAUCCCACGGCUCAACCGUGGAACUGCUGGGUAUACUGGCGGUCUUGAGCCACCUAGGGGCAACUGGAACAAGCGGUGGAGCGGUGAAAUGCGUAGAUAUCGGAAGGAACAUCAGUGGCGAAAGCGGCUUCCUGGACCAGCACCGACGUUCAGGCACGAAAGCGUGGGGAGCAAACAGG